rnacentral:rRNA from 1 species
AACGAACGCUGGCGGCAGGCCUAACACAUGCAAGUCGAACGCCGUAGCAAUACGGAGUGGCAGACGGGUGAGUAACACGUGGGAACGUACCCUUCGGUUCGGAAUAACUCAGGGAAACUUGAGCUAAUACCGGAUACGUCCGAGAGGAGAAAGAUUUAUCGCCGAGGGAUCGGCCCGCGUCUGAUUAGCUUGUUGGUGAGGUAACGGCUCACCAAGGCGACGAUCAGUAGCUGGUCUGAGAGGAUGAUCAGCCACAUUGGGACUGAGACACGGCCCAAACUCCUACGGGAGGCAGCAGUGGGGAAUAUUGGACAAUGGGCGCAAGCCUGAUCCAGCCAUGCCGCGUGAGUGAUGAAGGCCCUAGGGUUGUAAAGCUCUUUUACCCGGGAAGAUAAUGACUGUACCGGGAGAAUAAGCCCCGGCUAACUUCGUGCCAGCAGCCGCGGUAA